GUUCGGUCACGAGUGCGCGGCACGCAGGCGCUGAGCGGCAGCGGGGGGACGGGGACGGGGCCCCACAAAGGCGCGGACGGUCCCUGGGUUGGUACCGCAGCCACCGGGAUGUGCCCGAAGAGUUGAGCGGUUCUGCUCAACCGGGGGAAUUUGAACUCCGCGAGUGUGCCCGACCCCAACGGCGUAAAGCCGGGGUAAAGAGUGGCGAAUUAAUGCAGCAAACACUUGAAAAUAAUCUUAUAAUACACGGACUUGGGGUUAAUUUUGGUGGUGGCUUCGCUCCGUGCCUCUGCCACAAGUGUGGUGCAGCUCGGCGCGGAACGCGUACCCGGCUGGUGCCGGCACCGCUCCCGGCACUGCACCCACGUGUCUUGUGAGAACCGGUCAUAAAAUCUAGAAUGUAUUGUAAAUGGUGCUAAACAGGUGUUAAAUAAAACAAAAUUGCCUUUUCAAUAUGCAUGUACAACAGGUAGUUAGAAAUCGCAUGAAAAAGUAGAUAAAAAAUGCUAUAAAGUAGUUGUUGAUGGAGAUCCUGCAGUUCCUAAAACUAUCGGCGGGUCUCAUUUCUACAACACCCCCUAACAUCUAUUCUAAAUUGAUGCUGAGCAAUACUGGGACCAUCUGAUUGCAAUAGCAGGGUCAGAGUGCAGGUUUUGAACAGCCCCCAGGUUCCACAGCGUGGCUCCUCUCUGAAGUGACAUCCUUUACUUCCCCUCCACACCUCCCAAGAAAGGGAACAUCAAAGGAUACCCAAACCCAGGGUCGGGGCUGAUGGCUUUGGCAGUGCUCCUCUGGUUUGCUUUUUGCAAUCAGUUAAGCAUCCUAGGUAUUAUAUGAAAUAUAUUAAGUGUUAAUGCAAAAUUUAAAACACAUUAAAAUUCAACUUUGCAGGCCUUGCCGUUGAUCUCUUUUAAUGAUCCAUGACACGUGGAUAAAGGCAGGAGAGGACGGAGUUCUAACAGGAUUUAAGGCAGCGAGCUUCUUAUGAUUCUGCCAAGAACUGUUUGCAGAAUCUUGAAAAAUCAUGUAAUCUUUCUCUAACAUCUCCCUAUUUGCAGAUGAUUGAACUUUAUUAUGGUAUGGAAGUGUUUUAUAGGCUAUAUAUUGAAGUGUGGAUUCCAGAUGUCUGUUGGAGCAAGUGCAUUAUUAAUCCAUAAUCCUGAGGAGAUAUAUACAUAUCUUGACCUUUCAGCCAAGAUUACUCAAUCUUAAAAUUAAAUACAUGUGUACAUCUGUAGGAUUGAGGUCAGAAUACAAGAUAAAUGGAUGUUACUAGAGAAUCAUCAGACAAAAAACACAUCAUCCAUCCAUACUGCAAAAGUCUACCAAAAGAGACAGAAGAGAGACAUAAAAGAAAAUCAACUCAUUUUUCUAAAUAUUUUUUUUUGGACAUGGACAAUCUGAGACUCUUGGUGUAUCAAGCAAACCCACCAAGGACUCUAUCCAUCACAUACACCUGGAAACACCAGAACACAUUAUAGAAGUGUGGAAGUAAAUGCUUCAGAAACAACACAGUUUCUAUCUAUAGAUCUCCAAAAAUAGAAAACACUUUUUAAACCUUGUUUUAGGCCAGAAAUGAUACCUAUUCCAAUACAGUUCAUUAUACCAUAGAAAUAGUCUGUGUGUCAAUAACAAAAAGCCUAUCCCAGACUUAAAAGAACUGGGGAAAAAAGGGGAGGGGGAAUGUGUAGGUUGUGGAUGAUGAGAAUAUCCAUAUCCACAGCUGCAUUAGACAGGAUAAAACCACUUAGAAGCAAUAUUAAAUUUCCAUGCUUAGUGAUGGCUGAUGAGGGUUGGGGUUUCCCCUCUGAGCAGAUCAUGGCACAGUUUUCCAACAGUGCCCAGAGCUGGGCCCCAUCAGGAGGUGCUUGGAUGGGACAGCCCAGGGCUGACACAAGGCUGGCCUUCUUCACAGUCAAAAAUACGGGAAAAACACCUCAACUUUGUGAAACAGUGUCAAAACCACAGUAUCAACUGUGGAAAAGGAGUGGUGGUUAUUGGGAAAGGGGCUGGGCUAAACUCUUUGAAAAAAACCACUAAAACAUUUUUUUGCUAGAUAUAAAUGUAGCUUAAAUUAUUUAAGAUCUAAUCAUGCCAAGGCGCUGGAUCCUGACCUUGUUAGCUUAGAGCAGGGAGCUGUCAUUUAAUUAAUGUUGUACUGUGGGGCUCAUGCUGAAAGCAGAGCUGAAGUGCUAUGCUGGGGAAGGCUCUAAGAAGACAUGGGAUCAUUUCACCCCACUGAGCUUUAGAACUGUUACUUCCCAUUGCACAGAAUGGACUGGACUAAUCUUAAAACAUUUUUUGAAAAUACUGUUUAUCCUGUGAGAUCUACCAUUCUAUACUUUCUUUACCUUGGGUUGUGAUGGAAGAUGAGAUAUUUAAGUAUUUCACUGUUUUAUGAAGGAAGCAGACAUUUUUCUAGACAUGGCAGAUCUAAAGCUUUCCUCUGCAGAAAUUCCAUCAACUAAAUGUUAAGCUCUACUUCAGAUGUUUCCCUUAACCUCCCUGGGACUGCUGGCAAACCUGUAUUUGCCUUUUGCUAGUUCAAAUGUAUUGUUUUUAAUGCAGAUCUACCAUGACUUCCACUUUGUGGUGGCUUGAUUCGGGUUGGAUGCAGGAACAGGAACAAAUGGAAGUGCUGAUUUACAUAUGAAGCUGGAGAUCCGUUUUAGCAAAGCUGCUCUGGCGAGGGCAGCACCACGGUGCGCUCAGCACCGGAUCACAUUAAUCACAGGGUACUUAGAGAACCUAUUCAGCCUCCUACAGAAAAUACAGAAGUACAUUUUUAGCAGAAAAAAAAAGAACUGUGAGUAUCCUUGUGACAGUGUACAGAUUUCUCAGGGCUUUCUGGAAAGAAACUUGGACUUCUGCCACCUGCUUCGAUUGUGUUCAUGCAUAAAUGAUCCAGAGAACGGGUUGACAUUACCUCUAAUUAGGGGUAAUAACAGCUUGCUGCUGAAAGGGCCCGUUCCCUUUCUCUUGCAUGUACAUCCCUCACUUUUCCUGCAUUAGGUCUGGUGCUGGUGCAGCCACGGGGCGAGGCAGUUCAGUGACCCAAACCAGGAGAAAACUCAGCCAUUACGAAAAAUAAUAUAUAUUUUUUUCAUUAAGUCAAUCCACUGAAGCUCUGUAACCAUUAGAUCGGUGCGAUCCACAGGCUGGAGAGGGCUGAGAUGAAGGGAGAGGGCAGGAUACACCCUUUUGGUGGCCUUCCGCAAUUGCACAGGUCACAGGUGACAGCAAACCCCGGCCCUGAGCCCCAGCGUGACUUCAGAAGAACUCCCUGAAGCAUUUCUAAGAGUUAAUUAAGCAUGGCUGACUCCUUCAGUUUCAGCUCACUCCAGAGUGGCAGUGUAGAGUUGUGUCAUAAUGAGUAAUAGAGUUGGAAAUAAUUUUUCCUGUUUAGUUUGUACCUCAGAUGGAGCUGUAAAAUGGGUCAGAAAGGGAAAAGGGUGCAUUGCUGUGGACCUCAUGUUGAUCCUUAGUGUAUGUUUUUUUGUUUAACAAGCUAAUUUUUCUUUUCUUUCUUACAGGAAAGAAAUAUUUACUUCAAAGCUACAACACUGAGGCUUGGAAUCUUAAAAUGACACAAGUGUCUGGCUUGGAAAAGGGCGUGAGAUGAAAUGCCUUCGCUGAUUCUGCAGGUCCUUUUUCAUACUGAUCCUCUGAAUGAAAUACAAACUCAGCAGUACAUCAGUGUUUAAUGUUGCUCAACAGGUUUGUUUCUUACUUAUCCCUUGAGUCUCCUGAUGCACAAAUUUGAUGUGGCACAAGUGUAUUGCUUCACCUUUUCAGAAAUCACCUUCAGAACUGUGCCAAGUAUUCACUAGGGAGUUCUGCUCUACGCCUUAAUUUUCCCUCUGUAAAACACAGAAAAAAUGAAUUAUGGUUUAAAGGGUUUAUGUGAACUUGGUAAUAAAAAAAUCUUUCAACACUG